CCUGGCGGCCAGGCUUUCCUAGACCCUGGAUGUGUCCGGGGAGGAACGUGGACUUUCUCUCCUUCCACAAGUAUUUAUUUAUUCAGCAGCUACUACGCCCUGGUCGGCCCUGAGGAGGUCCGGACGUCGGGCUCCGGGCUGGACGGUUCCACGAGCCGCAGGCCUGGCAGGGCCCGGACACACAGCAUUUGUGCCCCCAGCCCCUCGGUCUGGGAGGGAGCCUCCCAGUCCCCAGACUCCUCUCCAGCCAGGUCUACAGCACCGUCCCAUUCAUAUUCUUCUGGGUUACUAAGCAGCUGCUUUUAGAGUAAAAAAAAAAAACAAAAAAAAAAACGGAGGAAGACCCGGAGAUUAUUCACCUUUUGGUGUGAAUUCGCUUAAUCCUGCCGCCUAAUUUGUAAAGACUUCCCCACCUUGUGCGGGACGCAGCGCACAGCAAGGGCUUUCAGGGGGUUUGGAACAACGUCCGCCUCCCCUCCUGGGUGCACAGACCGGUCUUCCUCGUUUACACCCAGGAAACUAGGCUUCGCCUGUAACAAAGGGAAGCCCCCGCCUCCAGGUCCUGUGUUCAGCCCCACUCCAUUGAUCAGGAAGUGAUCACACAAGGCAAGCUUCUCCUGUUCCAGGGAAAGCCCAGGAAAUUCUGUGGCCUGUGCUCUCCCCACGCUCCUGCUGCUGCCCUGACCAAGCCUAGUGCUUCCCCAUGUGGCCCCGUGUGCUGUAGUGUGUUCCCUUCUUUUGGAAAAUCCUUGAAGACGGCCGUGGGCAAUCAGCCUCCCUGUUGGAGUCUCCCCUCCCUUCAGUGAUUCACCACACUGGCAGCCCUUCUAGAAGGUGUCUUUAUGGAGAUAUCUCUAAAUGUGCAAAGACCAUCAUUGCCUUUUGCAGGAGGUUGGUUGGUCUACCUAUAUGGGGGGAGGCUGCACUGUUUGUUGUCUUGAGAUUUCUUCCAGAUCUAUGAUUCCAACUUGAUAGGAAUUUUAUUUAAUUCAAUUCACACAACGUUGGCUAGUAAUCUAUGAAUACCAAGAAAUAUAUGUCAUAUAGACUGUUUUGAAAUAUUGUAUAUUUCGUAUGCAACAACCUUUAUUGUAUGAUACAAUCAAACCACAUGAAAUAACAUUUUUUAUUACAAACAAGAGUGAUUACUGUAAAGCAAUCAUACUCCAAUAAAGAUGUUAUUAAAAAAAUGAUUAGAAUUUUUUUAAACACCAGACAAAAAUCUUUAAGUAGUACUAAUUCUAAACAAUUUUGCUUGCUUUUCCAGUUUAUGUGGACUGAUUAUGCCUUUCAAACAUCCAGUAUUCUUUUUUGUUUGUUUCUUUGUUUGUUUUUGGUU